rnacentral:rRNA from 1 species
GACGAACGCUGGCGGCGUGCUUAACACAUGCAAGUCGAGCGGUAAGGCCCUUUCGGGGGUACACGAGCGGCGAACGGGUGAGUAACACGUGGGUGACCUGCCCUCAGCUCUGGGAUAAGCCUGGGAAACCGGGUCUAAUACUGGAUAUGACUCCAUGACGCAUGUUGUGGGGUGGAAAGCCUUGUGCGGCUGAGGAUGGGCCCGCGGCCUAUCAGCUUGUUGGUGGGGNGAUGGCCUACCAAGGCGACGACGGGUAGCCGGCCUGAGAGGGCGACCGGCCACACUGGGACUGAGACACGGCCCAGACUCCUACGGGAGGCAGCAGUGGGGAAUCUUGCGCAAUGGGCGAAAGCCUGACGCAGCAACGCCGCGUGCGGGAUGAAGGCCCUCGGGUUGUAAACCGCUUUCAGCAGGAACGAAAUGACGGUACCUGCAGAAGAAGGUCCGGCCAACUACGUGCCAG